UACGUAGGUGGCAAGCGUUGUCCGGAAUUAUUGGGCGUAAAGCGCGCGCAGGCGGCCUUUUAAGUCUGAUGUGAAAGCCCACGGCUCAACCGUGGAAGGUCAUUGGAAACUGAAAGGCUUGAGUACAGAAGAGGAAAGCGGAAUUCCACGUGUAGCGGUGAAAUGCGUAGAGAUGUGGAGGAACACCAGUGGCGAAGGCGG
rnacentral:rRNA from 1 species